GACGAACGCUGGCGGCGUGCUUAACACAUGCAAGUCGAACGGAAAGGCCCUGCUUUUGUGGGGUGCUCGAGUGGCGAACGGGUGAGUAACACGUGAGUAACCUGCCCUUGACUUUGGGAUAACUUCAGGUAACUGGGGCUAAUACCGGAUAGGAGCUCCUGCUGCAUGGUGGGGGUUGGAAAGUUUCGGCGGUUGGGGAUGGACUCGCGGCUUAUCAGCUUGUUGGUGGGGUAGUGGCUUACCAAGGCUUUGACGGGUAGCCGGCCUGCGAGGGUGACCGGCCACAUUGGGACUGAGCUACGGCCCAGACUCCUACGGGAGGCAGCAGUGGGGAAUAUUGCACAAUGGGCGGAAGCCUGAUGCAGCAACGCCGCGUGCGGGAUGACGGCCUGCGGGUUGUAAACCGCUUUCGCCUGUGACGAAGCGUGAGUGACGGUAAUGGGUAAAGAAGCACCGGCUAACUACGUG
rnacentral:rRNA from 1 species